UACGGAGGGUGCAAGCGUUAUCCGGAUUCACUGGGUUUAAAGGGUGCGUAGGCGGGCAGGUAAGUCCGUGGUGAAAUCUCUGAGCUUAACUCAGAAACUGCCAUGGAUACUAUUUGUCUUGAAUGUUGUGGAGGUAAGCGGAAUAUGUCAUGUAGCGGUGAAAUGCUUAGAUAUGACAUAGAACACCGAUAGCGAAGGCAGCUUACUACAGGAUGAUUGACGCUGAGGCACGAAAGCGUGGGGAGCAAACAGG
rnacentral:rRNA from 1 species